GGAAGGAUCAUUAACACUAAUCCAAUCAUCUAAACCUAGCCUUAUGUUGCUGCAUUAGUACGAGCUAGCGAAAGCAGGCAUGAACUCUUGCAGCAUCUACAAAACUAAUUCAAAGGAGCAUAACUAAGCUCUAUACCAAAACCAAAUUCUCAACGAUGGAUAUCUUGGUUCCCAUAACGAUGAAGAACGCAGCGAAGUGCGAUAAGCAGUGCGAAUUGCAGAACCGUGAGUCAUCAGAUUUUUGAACGCAACUGGCGCCAGCUGGCUCUCCAGCUGGCAUGCUUGUUUCAGUGUCUCGUUUUCUCCUCACCCAAAUCUUAAUGCUUGAGAUACCCUUCUCUUGCUAAGUUCGAAGCACUCUACAUUCUGCAGGCAGCCUUGACUUGUCAAGGGUUGCACUCAAUGCAGCAGUCACAUUUCUAAUGUGAACUCAUUGAGAGUGGAAGUAGUGCAGCUUGUCUGCCAGUGCUUAGUCACUCAAACUUUACUUGCAUCUGAAAUCAAGCAGGAUCACCCGCUGAACUUAAGCAUAUCACUAAGCGGAGGAAAAGAAAUUAACUAAGAUUGCCUCAGUAACGGCGAGUGAAGCGGCAAAAGCCCAAACUGGAAAUCUUCACACUGCGUGUGACGAAUUGUAAUCUACAGGUGGGACACUCAACGAGUUUUGAUGCAUAAGUGACCUCGAAUGGUCCGCCAAAGAGGGUGGCAGCCCCGUUCAUGGCAUCGAAGCUCACCGAGUGCCUUUCGAAGAGUCGGGUUGUUUGGAAUUGCAGCCCUAAGUGGGGGAUAGACUUCCUCUAAGGCUAAAUACAUAUGGGAAACCGAUAGCGAACAAGUACUGUGAAGGAAAGAUGAAAAGAACUUUGAAAAGAGAGUCAAAAGACUUGAAAUCGUUGAGAAGGAAGCGGUAGAAAUUUAUUCUUCUAUGCAGGAUGAUGGUGUGCGCCUAUCCAUUCUGGCUUGCCAACACUUCAACGGUUGCGGGCUUUACAUGGGGAAGCGCCAGCUGGAUCCUGCAUUGAGAGGCAAAAUGAGGUCCAGCCUCCACAAAAGCUUGGUAGACCUGGACUGGUUCGCCAGUCAGUCUGCCUUCCACUGUGGAGACUUGGCCUGAGGAAGCCUUGUGCGAUUUUGCCAAAAUGGUUUUUACCGACCCGUCUUGAAACACGGACCAAGGAGUCUAACAUAUAUGCGAGUGUGCUGGUGGAGAAACCAACACGCAAAAGGAAACUAAUUGAUGCCAAGCUUACGCAGCAGCAUCGACCAACCAUGAUCCUCUGGAGAAAGGUUUGAGUAUGAGCAUAUCUGUUAGGACCCGAAAGAUGGUGAACUAUGCCUGGGUAGGGUGAAGCCAGGGGAAACUCUGGUGGAGGCUCGUAGCGGUUCUGACGUGCAAAUCGAUCGUCAAACUUGGGUAUAGGGGCGAAAGACUAAUCGAACCAUCUAGUAGCUGGUUCCCUC
rnacentral:misc_RNA from 1 species